GACGAACGCUGGCGGCGUGCCUAAUACAUGCAAGUAGAACGCUGAAGGCGGAGCCUGCUCUUCUGGAUGAGUUGCGAACGGGUGAGUAACGCGUAUGUAACCUGCCUGUUAGCGGGGGAUAACUCUUGGAAACGAUAGCUAUUACCGCAUAAGAGUAUAUGUUGCAUGACAUUUACUUAAAAGAUGCAGUUGCAUCUCUACCAGAUGGACCUGCGUUGUAUUAGCUAGUUGGUUGGGUAAAGGCUUACCAAGCCGACGCUACAUAGCCGACCUGAGAGGGUGGUCGGGCAAAAUGGGAAUGGGACAAGGCCCAGACUUCUAAGGGAGGGAGGAGGAAGGAAACGUCGGGAAGUGACGGAAGGCUGAACGAGGAAAGGCGGGGGAAGGAAGAAAGGUUUCGGAUCGGAAAGACCUGGUUGAAGAGGAAGACGAGGGGGAGAAGGGAAAGUUCACGCUGUGACGGUAGCUAACCAGAAAGGGACGGCUAACUACGUG
rnacentral:rRNA from 1 species